rnacentral:rRNA from 1 species
ACAGAGGGUGCGAACGUUGUUCGGAAUUACUGGGCGUAAAGCGCGUGUAGGCGGUCAUGCAAGUCGGGCGUGAAAUCCCUGGGCUCAACCGAGGAAGUGCGCUCGAAACUGCAUGACUGGAGUUCCGGAGAGGAUGGUGGAAUUCUCGGUGUAGAGGUGAAAUUCGUAGAUAUCGAGAGGAACACCAGUGGCGAAGGCGGCCAUCUGGACGGAUACUGACGCUGAGACGCGAAAGCGUGGGUAGCAAACAGGAUUAGAUACCCUGGUAGUCCACGCCGUAAACGAUGGGUGCUAGGUGUCGCGGGCUUUGACUCCUGCGGUGCCGCAGCAAACGCAUUAAGCACCCCGCCUGGGGAGUACGGCCGCAAGGCUA